UAUUGGGUACUGAAACGAUGACCCGAAUCUUGGUUUUUGAUAGGGCUUUGAGGAUUUCCGGGUCGGAAUCAUAGAUACGGAUAUGGGUUACCUUUUGUUGUUGCAAGAAUGACACUAAUUUUGCAGGUGGAAGUAAAUUUGAGACAUCUGUUCCUAUGUUAACUCCCACAUAAGGUUCGUCUUUAGCUUGUUGUGCUUUAACCUCUGCAUAUAAAUAGAAAAUGGCAUUAGGGUUCUUCAAUUUGUGCAUAAGAGAGUAAAAUUUUGAAAUUUCGAAGUGGGGUGUGUGGAUUUGAUUGUGUUUAAGGUGAGUUUCUUGAAUUUUGUGUCAAAAAGCUGUGUUUGUUGAUUGGGUACUGUAAAUUUAUAAUCUUGGAAUAAAAGGGAUUGAUUAAACUAGGUUUUCUGAAGCUGUAAAGUGGAAAUUUGAGUUGUGUAAGUACCUGGUAAUGCAGCAGAGAAGACGAAGGAGAAGAUGAGCAAGAAAGAAGGGAGACUAAGAACCGCCAUUAAAGAGAAGCUUAAGGUCUGCAAGUUUCAUGUUCUAUGAGUGGCAGUUGAACAAGAGCUUGCAUCCUAGCAACUUGGGCAGGAAAUCUU
rnacentral:lncRNA from 1 species